AGAGUUUGAUCCUGGCUCAGGACGAACGCUGGCGGCGCGCUUAACACAUGCAAGUCGAACGGUUAAGGCGGCUUCGGCCGCGAAUACAGUGGCGAACGGGUGAGUAACACGUGACCAACCUGCCCCCUCCUCCGGGACAACCUCGGGAAACCGAGGCUAAUACCGGACGAACCCGCAGGGCCGCAUGGCCCGGCGGGCAAAGCCCAGGCGGGAGGGGAUGGGGUCGCGGCCCAUCAGGCAGACGGCGGGGUGACGGCCCACCGUGCUUACGACGGGUAGCCGGGCUGAGAGGCCGGCCGGCCACAUUGGGACUGAGAUACGGCCCAGACUCCUACGGGAGGCAGCAGUGGGGAAUUUUGCGCAAUGGGCGCAAGCCUGACGCAGCGACGCCGCGUGCGGGAGGAAGGCCCUCGGGCCGUAAACCGCUUUCGGCAGGGAAGAAGUCUGACUGUACCUGCAGAAGAAGCCCCGGCUAACUACGUGCCAGCAGCCGCGGUAACACGUAGGGGGCGAGCGUUGUCCGGAUUCAUUGGGCGUAAAGGGCGCGCAGGCGGCCCGGCAAGCGGUGCCUCUAAGCCCGGGGCUCAACCCCGGGACGGGCGCCGAACUUCCGGGCUCGAGCGCGGUAGAGGAGGACGGAAUUCCCGGUGUAGCGGUGGAAUGCGCAGAUAUCGGGAGGAACACCGAUGGCGAAGGCAGUCCUCUGGGCCGUCGCUGACGCUGAGGCGCGAAAGCCGGGGGAGCGAACAGGAUUAGAUACCCUGGUAGUCCCGGCCGUAAACGAUGGGCGCUAGGUGUGGGAGGGGAGGCCCUUCCGUGCCGCAGCCAACGCAGUAAGCGCCCCGCCUGGGGAGUACGGCCGCAAGGCUAAAACUCAAAGGAAUUGACGGGGGCCC
rnacentral:rRNA from 1 species